GUAUACAGGAAGUACUGACAAAGAAGAAAAUGGAUAAUUGGCUGUAUAUUGUGAUGUAGAAAGUGAGACGAAAUAUCCCUGCACGCGAUGUAUUGAAUUCUACAUUCUUUAAUAUUGCAGUGAACUGAUUCACUCACCAAAAUAAAUUUUAUUCGUGUACAGAAUGUCUUGUUGUAUUAAAAAGUUAUGGCUUUACCAGGGCCCAGCACACAAUGUAAGUUUGUGCUUUGGGUCAUCACAAGAAUUUUUUGUGUAAGCAAACUUUUCAUCAUAACGCAAGUAGAAUAAAAACUAUGCAAAUUUCA